ACACCCUGCUAAAUGAAGGCCAAGAAGCAAACAGAAAAUUAGAAGGUACAGAAAUAAUGGACAGCCAGGCCAGGGUCAUUUUUUGUUCUUAUUCUUUUGAUUCUUUUUUUAACAUUUCCUUAGGUAAAUAUUAUUUUCUCUGUUUUCAGGUUUAGACUUUAUUGAACCAUUAAUGAGAAGACAGAAGAUAAGUAAAGUCUUGCACUACAUCUGAAAUGAAAAAACAAAAUGUCUUGCUAUUCUGUUCCUUAGCACUGCGUUCUGCAGAUUUGAGAUCUUUACUUUUAGAAGAAACAUCAGCCUCCCUUCUCCAAUAUCCAGCACAGGGCACCGAUGAGCAGCAACACGGAAUCCUUCAGCAUCUUACCGAGGCAGAGAAGUGGUGUGCUGAGAACAUUUCUGUGUUUUAGGGGGCACAUCUCACUCCUUUCAUUACUGUCAAUGGACAAAGACGACAUUGAGGAGGCCCUUCAGAAAUUUGAUUUGCUAUCUGAAUUUCCAGAAGAAGAGGAGAGGGAAUAUGUCUUUAGACCCUUUGUCAAAUUUGGAAGAUAUGCAUCUGUUUUUAGAUAACAUGAGAGGAAAAAGGAAAAUGACUGUGUUUUGUGAGAAAAUGUAACAAAUAUACAUUGUUCAGUUACAACCUACAAUUCUUGCUCAAUUCUUGUUCUAUAUUUUAUAUAUUCUUUAACUUUUUUUGUAAUGUUGCAAACCAACUUCAUCUUUACAGUCCAUUGUCUCAGUUCUGGACUUCUUAGUGUUAUGUAUUAAAAUAAUGUUUUAUAAAGCAA